AUUGAACGCUGGCGGAAUGCUUUACACAUGCAAGUCGAACGGCAGCACGGGGGCAGCCCUGGUGGCGAGUGGCGAACGGGUGAGUAAUACAUCGGAACGUGCCCGGUCGUGGGGGAUAACGUAGCGAAAGUUACGCUAAUACCGCAUACGAUCUGAGGAUGAAAGCGGGGGACCUUCGGGCCUCGCGCGAUCGGAGCGGCCGAUGUCAGAUUAGGUAGUUGGUGGGGUAAAGGCCUACCAAGCCGACGAUCUGUAGCUGGUCUGAGAGGACGACCAGCCAAACUGGGACUGAGACACGGCCCAGACUCCUAAGGGAGGCAGCAGUGGGGAAUUUUGGACAAUGGGCGCAAGCCUGAUCCAGCCAUUCCGCGUGCAGGACGAAGGCCUUCGGGUUGUAAACUGCUUUUGUACGGAACGAAAAGGCUCUGGCUAAUACCUGGGGCUCAUGACGGUACCGUAAGAAUAAGCACCGGCUAACUACGUG
rnacentral:rRNA from 1 species